ACCGCUUGGGAGAAUAUUGUUGAUACCCUGCAUAAGUAAUGAAAAUCAUCCAGAAUCUUUUAGCUGGUUUUACACUACAAACAAUGUUGGUCAGCGCCGCACCCAGAUUUUUCACGAGGAUAAAAGUGGCCUACAUCUCCUUUCCAAAGAUUUAUGGCAUAGAAAGAKUGUUUUAAGGAACCGCUCACUUGUAAUCAGCCCUUUUACAGAGGAGGAUCAAGGAAUAUACUCAUGUGAAGUGUAUAAAAAUGACAAGAUCACAUAUGGAUUGUCCACUUCAGUUGUUCUUGAAAAAGAAUCUCACAUGCCAGUAAUAACCACUGUGUCAAGCAGUGGUUUUAUGCAUGAAGUAACUAAGAAUGUGAUUACCAGCACAUAUUACGCACUUGACUCCACUCUGAACAACACCACCAACAAAAGCAUAGACAAUGGGCCUACUCCUCCAGAUAACCGAGAACCUCAAUGGCUGGCAUCAACAGUAGCUGGAGUCUCUGUAGCUGUGUGCCUUUUCCUUGUUGCACUGGCACUGUUUAAAUUAUGCCAUUUCAAAUGGAGAAUACACGCAGCUUCUGCCAAUCAACUUCUCUGUGGUGGCCAGGGGACCAGCUUUGAGGAAGAAACUACACUUGUUUAUUCAUCCUUGGUUAUCAGGAGACUCCAACAGAGAGAUGACAUCAGAAAUGACAACGAGUGUGUGUACAGUCAUAUCAGGGUCUAGGAACUAAGAAUGACACUACUUUGAUGAGARGCGUGAUAAAUAGUUUAAAUCAAGUUUUUCCAUUGUGCUCAGGCACACAAAAUGCCAAAAGGCACACUGUUGUUGGGAAUGAUUUGUAUGCUUUGAAUUGGUUUGUUUUAUAUUCUAUGUCAAAAAGUAAUAUAAUCACAUUAUGGCAUGACCUUUUGUUUGUAUUAAAUUGGUAUUGCACUGUGUCAAGCACUUCUGUACUUUUAAC